AUCAGUAAGCGGAGGAAGAGAAACUAACCAGGAUUCUCCUAGUAACGGCGAGUGAACGGAGAUUAGCCCAUCACCGAAGCCUGCGUGUGUUUGCAUGCUAGGCAAUGUGGUGUUAAAGCUUGUACCUGGGACCGUGUACCUACCCGAAGUCUAAAUCCGAUUGUGGCUUUGGAUUCAUUCCAUAGCGGGUGAAAGUCCCGUGCGGGUAGGACUCAUUCGAAUCACACGGUCCUCAGAUGUGCAUGCUUUCGAGUCGGAUUGCUUGAGAAUGCAGUCCAAAGUGGGUGGUAAACUCCAUCCAAGGCUAAAUACUGGCACGAGUCCGAUAGUAGACAAGUACCGUGAGGGAAAGUUGAAAAGUACUCUGAAGAGAGAGUAAAUAGUACGUGAAGCCGAUUGCAGGGAAGCUGGUGGAGUCAAGCUUCGUGCUUGAGGGAUUGAUGCUGGGAGCAGGUGUGUGAUUUGGAUGUGAGGUUGGACGACUUGGAAUAAGUUGGGCGUGUUCUGAAUGCGCUUCAAGUCAUUCUGGGUAGAGUGUUAUGAGCCAUCCUCGCUUUCCUACUCUCAGUGUUGUAUUCUUCGCUGCACAGGCCACAGUCAAUAGGUGUAUGCGGUAUGAAGGCCUAACUGUGCUUCGGCGGGUGCAAGCUCUCCGGGUGCAGGAUGGCAGGUGCUGUCUUCGGGCCUUGUGUUCGAUGAUAGUUGUUGUGGUUUCGACCGGCUGGUCUUCAUACUGUGUUCUACUUAUUGCCUAUCAAUGGCGUAGCUUCCACGGAAGUUGCGUUGUGAAGAACUGUGGCUCUGAGGUAGAC
rnacentral:sRNA from 1 species